GAUGAACGCUGGCGGCGUGCCUAAUACAUGCCAGUCGAGCGAACAGAUGAGGAGCUUGCUCCUCUGACGUUAGCGGCGGACGGGUGAGUAACACGUGGAUAACCUACCUAUAAGACUGGGAUAACUUCGGGAAACCGGAGCUAAUACCGGAUAAUAUAUUGAACCGCAUGGUUCAAUAGUGAAAGACGGUUUUGCUGUCACUUAUAGAUGGAUCCGCGCCGCAUUAGCUAGUUGGUAAGGUAACGGCUUACCAAGGCAACGAUGCGUAGCCGACCUGAGAGGGUGAUCGGCCACACUGGAACUGAGACACGGUCCAGACUCCUACGGGAGGCAGCAGUAGGGAAUCUUCCGCAAUGGGCGAAAGCUUGACGGAGCAACGCCGCGUGAGUGAUGAAGGUCUUCGGAUCGUAAAACUCUGUUAUUAGGGAAGAACAAAUGUGUAAGUAACUAUGCACGUCUUGACGGUACCUAAUCAGAAAGCCACGGCUAACUACGUG
rnacentral:rRNA from 1 species